AUGGAUCGAGGAAGACGACGACGGCGCAGCCCAAAUCAACGGAAGCUUCGAUCCAAGCUCAUCAUCUGGUUCUGCUUCUGGGGCCAAUUCUAUUUUUACGUACAGCAGAGUCCUCAUAUAAUAUGGAAGUCGACAAAAAAAACUUCAGGGUCCGAAAUUACAGACGGGCUAAUUAUAAUCCUCCUAUUAUACGCCUACGAUCCAGCGGUACAGGCCCAUGAGGCCCGCCUCGUCCUCGUCCGCCGCCCGCGGCGCCGCCAUGGCCGCCGCCUCGGGGUCCCACCGCCACGAGUCCUCCUGCCGGUGGCUGUGGUGGCUCUGGCUCCACCGCGCGCUCCACCGCCCGGAGAGGGACGACGCCGAGGAGGCCAGCCGGUCCACGUACUCCCGGAGCCACCCGCGCGACCCCGCCGCCUCCGCCAGCGCCUCGCCCGGGCCCUGCGGCGCGGCGCGCUGCCCGGCCACCGCCGACUUGGCCGCCGCCGCGGGGCGCGCGAUGCGCGCCACCACGGCCUCCACCUCCUCGUCCACGCGGUAGUCGAAGGAGCCGAGGGAGUAUGUGCGGCGGUCGUCCCCCGCGGCGGACGAGCGUCGGUUGCUCACGCUGCCGAUCUCGACGCGGAAGCUCCUGGACGCGUUGCUGCUGCUCCUCGCGUCCAACGGCUCCUGCUGCGCGGCGGCGGUGUAGGCGGUGGGGAGAGGCGGGUGCGGCAGCGAGAUGGCGGCGCGGCAGAGCGGGCACGACGGCGUGUUGCGGAGCCACGCGUCGACGCAGGCGGCGUGGAACGCGUGCCGGCACGCCGGGAGCAGCCGCAGCUCGGCGUCGGGCACGAACGGCGACAGGCAGACGGCGCAGUCCGGGGAGCUCUUGGGCAGCGCCGCCAGCGCCGACGCCAUCGUGAAGAGCGGAAGUGA
rnacentral:rRNA from 1 species